rnacentral:misc_RNA from 1 species
UUUCCGUAGGUGAACCUGCGGAAGGAUCAUUAUCGUACAAAAUGUGAGGGGCAUGCAAGUGCUGUCUUUGACCCAAAAGUCAUGCACGCGCGAGUGUUUCCUCUUGAAUAAUAAUCCAUCUCACCCUUUGUGCAUCACCGCGUGGGCACCCUUCGUGAUCAUCUCGGAGGGGUGCUCGCGUUUUCACACAAACCCCCCUUUUAAAAGUGUAAAAUGACCACAUUUAUGAAAUCAAUACAACUUUCAACAACGGAUCUCUUGGCUCUC